AUCUUUUGCGAAUUCUGCGCAUUCGUUAUUGUUUGUUAAAAAACAAAUGCACAUGUCUACUUGGAUGUGGUGGCUGCAUUAGGGCUGAUUGUUUUUGUCGUACUAUUCAUGUAAUAAAAAUUUAAUUUUUAAGUAAAUUUGUAUCUUCAAAUGCA